rnacentral:rRNA from 1 species
CGUAGGUGGCAAGCGUUGUCCGGAAUUAUUGGGCGUAAAGGGCGCGUAGGCGGUCCCUUAAGUCAGAUGUGAAAUCCCGAGGCUUAACCUCGGGCGUGCAUUUGAAACUGGGGGACUGGAGUGCAGGAGAGGUAAGUGGAAUUCCUAGUGUAGCGGUGAAAUGCGUAGAUAUUAGGAGGAACACCAGUGGCGAAGGCGACUUACUGGACUGUAACUGACGCUGAGGCGCGAAAGCGUGGGGAGCAAACAGGAUUAGAUACCCUGGUAGUCCACGCCCUAAACGAUGUCAACUGGUUGUUGGGUCUUUACUGACUCAGUAACGAAGCUAACGCGUGAAGUUGACCGCCUGGGGAGUACGGCCGCAAGGUUG